AUUGAACGCUGGCGGCAUGCCUUACACAUGCAAGUCGAACGGCAGCACGGGACUUCCGGUCUGGUGGCGAGUGGCGAACGGGUGAGUAAUGCAGUCGGAACGUGCCAUUGAGUGGGGGGAUAACGUAGCGAAAGUUGCGCUAAUACCGCAUAUUCUGUGAGCAGGAAAGCAGGGGACCGCAAGGCCUUGCGCUCUUUGAGCGGCCGAUGUCAGAUUAGCUAGUUGGUGAGGUAAAGGCUUACCAAGGCGACGAUCUGUAGCGGGUCUGAGAGGAUGAUCCGCCACACUGGAACUGAGACACGGUCCAGACUCCUACGGGAGGCAGCAGUGGGGAAUUUUGGACAAUGGGGGCAACCCUGAUCCAGCCAUGCCGCGUGAGUGAAGAAGGCC
rnacentral:rRNA from 1 species